GAAGCCUUGGGACAUUUUCAUUUGAGAUGAUAACAAAGUCAUUUUAGGAGAAAAACUGGGUUGUGCUGUGAAAGGUUCUGAAGAUGGAGCCCAGAUGCUCAACCACUACCUGAACUCCAAUCUGGGCUGCAAAUGCGGAGGGAAUAACCAUCCCACAAAAUGUCGUGUUUCCCAGCACAAGGUUAUUCUUUGUACAGAGGAUGAAGAAAUCCAUGUGCACAGAUUGGACUUCUCCCUUGGGCCGCGGAGAUGUUCCCAACUGUCUCCCGGACAUUUCCAGCUCAGAGUCAACAGAUGAUUGGAGAGUUAUCUCAUCUGCUACAUAUUUACUUAGUCACAUCUCCUAACUGCUCCAAUCACCCAAGAGCAAAAUCUAAGUGUCUGCCUUAAUAGUUCUUAUCAAUGCAUCACCAUUCACAGAUGUGCAUGCACUUAUACAUACACUCCUUCAAUCCAUCCUACGUGGUGUUGAUUGUAUCUCCAAUACAUUCUUCAUAACCCUUCUUUCUUCUCUGCCUUCUACAGUCCCUAUCCUGGACAAGACACUAAUAAUUUCUGAGGGGUAUAAUUUUAAUACAUUAUUCUCUGAACUCCCUACUGACAAUUCAUGUUCUUCACAUUGCAAAUAAAGUUCUCGCUCUCUAAAAUGGCAG
rnacentral:lncRNA from 1 species